GACGAACGCUGGCGGCGUGCUUAACACAUGCAAGUCGAGCGAUGAAGUUCCUUCGGGAAUGGAUUAGCGGCGGACGGGUGAGUAACACGUGGGUAACCUGCCUCAUAGAGGGGAAUAGCCUUCCGAAAGGAAGAUUAAUGCCGCAUAAGAUUGCAGUUUCACAUGAAACAGCAAUUAAAGGAGUAAUCCGCUAUGAGAUGGACCCGCGUCGCAUUAGCUAGUUGGUAAGGUAACGGCUUACCAAGGCGACGAUGCGUAGCCGACCUGAGGGGGUGAUCGGCCACAUUGGGACUGAGACACGGCCCAGACUCCGACGGGAGGCAGCAGUGGGGAAUAUCGCACAAUGGGGGAAACCCUGAUGCAGCAACGCCGCGUGAGUGAUGAAGGUCUUCGGAUUGUAAAACUCUGUCUUCAGGGACGAUAAUGACGGUACCUGAGGAGGAAGCCACGGCUAACUACGUGCCAGCCGCCGCCGUAA
rnacentral:rRNA from 1 species